AGCCACUCCCUCCUUGAUGCAAAGUACAGUACAGUUACUUCUGUCCCGUGUGGAGCCUCAGACUCACAUCUUCAGCCUCACAGCAAUGAAGACUCUCACUGUUCUGCUGGCUGCUCUCUGUCUGUCCUGUUGUUCAGGUCAGAGCAUGGAGUCCAUUCCUUCCACUGCAGUAGUGAAGAAGCCUGGAGAGACCCUCAGUCUGUCCUGCAGAGGAUCUGGGUUCACAUUUAGUAACUAUGGGAUGCACUGGGUCAGACAACCUGCAGGAAAAGGACUGGAAUGGAUGGGGGUUAUUUGGUACGAUGCAAGUAAAACAGUUUAUGCCAGCAACGUUCAAGGACGCAUAGAAAUCACCAGAGACAACAGCAACAGCAUGACGUAUCUGAAACUGUCCAACCUGAGGCCAGAGGAUUCUGCUGUUUAUUACUGUGCGAGGCACCCACAGUAACACAGGCGUCCAGUGGAGCUGAACAAAAACCCCUCCGAGCCAAACAUUAGUAACAUGGAUCCACCAGAGGAGGAGCCUCAGACCAGGAAUGAGAGCAGUUCUCAGUUUAGUUCAAAAACAAUCUGCAACUCAAAUCGUCUUUUUUGUUUGAGUGCAGUCAUUUCUCGGUCUCAGCUCUGAAGCAGCAUAGAAGCAGCUGUCACAUAAAUAUGCUCAGUAAAACUAUUUUCAUGCAAACUAAGCUCACACUGUAUCAUGUGUGUCUAUGAG